rnacentral:rRNA from 1 species
UACGUAGGGUGCAAGCGUUGUCCGGAAUUAUUGGGCGUAAAGAGCUCGUAGGCGGUCUGUCGCGUCUGCUGUGAAAACUCAGGGCUUAACCCUGAGCUUGCAGUGGGUACGGGCAGACUAGAGUGCGGUAGGGGGAGACUGGAAUUCCUGGUGUAGCGGUGAAAUGCGCAGAGUAUCAGGAGGGAACACCGGUGGGCGAAGGC